rnacentral:lncRNA from 1 species
UUGACAGUAUUAUAGUUUCUAUGAUGAAAUGUCUCCUGCAGGUCUAGAGGUGCCCCUUCGGUCGCCCUUAUAAAAAUGACGCAAGAUAUAGUUGGGUUUGUAAUUGCAGUGAUGCGUAUACUUGCAGGCAGCCUUCCAGUGGGUGAACCCGCUGUCCAUGCGUCACCUGCGGAACAGGCGUUCUCACCACACCCAUAUUGUCAAGGGGGAGCUGGAGGAGGUGGAGGCUGUGAGGCGGACCUACCACGUGGCCAAGAGGAAGUCGAGUAUGGGGCACGCUGUACCCGCCACACCCGCCACUCCCCCCAGCAUGGCUUCUCCGCCCUCCUCCGAUGAUGACGAGAUCAUCCACCGCGAGCACGACGAGAGAGAGCCGGCACAACACCCAGAGCAGCCUCGGGAGGAACAAGGUGGUGGUGGUGGUGUGGUAGGAGAGGAGGGCACAGCCCCUCCAUCACCAUCACAUAGGGAAAGGCCAGAGGAAACAUUAGAAAACGAAUCUUGAUGGGAUUUUGUCGGCAUAUAAUUUGAAUGCCUAUAAAACUAUACAAGUAUUUGCGCAUACUAUUACUAAUAAGUUAGCUAUUACCAAACAGCACUGAUUAGAAAGCUCUCUAGUUGAUUUCUUUUGCUCGCAUAACAUGUGAAAAUUCUCUAGCCAAUUCACCUAAGUGAUAGUCUAGCUUAAUGCACUAUUGACACAACCAGUUCCUGCAUUUUACCAUUCCUUCCAUAGACUUGCAUAUAGUUCCUUUACAGUACCUUAACAUUGAAACAUUAAAGAUGAUCACUUCUAUUGAAGGAGAGUUAAGUUGUUUAUAAAUAUGCGUGGCCUUGCUAGUAAAGUUGUACUUGAAAUUGAAGAUGAGAACUACAUCAAUAGUAUAUGUUGACUGAAGAGGCGAAUACCUCAUCCAGAAACAUGGUGGAUGAUUAACUAGACGGGAGACCUCAACAUCAUAGCUCACUAAGAUAACAAACAUAAAGGAAUAGCAUCCAGCUUUCUGCCAGUUUUCUUUUUGAUAUGUACAUACUUUACUGUGUGUGUGUGGUUUAAUUACAGCAUAAUAAUACAUAAUGCAGAUCUAAUGAAAUAUUUAUAAUUAUAUGGCACCAACACUGAACUAUUUUUGCCAUGUUGAAGAGUUUUCCCUGAGUGAUCAGUGUUCCUGUUCAUUCAUAUACUGUAUCUUAUUACAUUGAAUAUUGCUUUAUCAUUAAUUAAUGCUUCAGCAUUCUGUAUAUAGAACAUUAGGAGAGUAGAACAUAUAGUGAACAUUUGGGAAGUAGAAGAACUCCCAGAACCCCAUCCAGCUGGUAUACUUGCUUUCACUUGGAUGGAGUAAGACCUCGUAAAUAGUAUUUGACAGCUUUGGUCUCCUAGUACUGUUGGCAUUGUUUCGUGUCUCAUAUUCGGGGAUCCCAUGUUCAAUUCCCCCGGCGGAACAGAAAUGGUUGGAUACAUUUCCUUUCACCUAAUGCCUCUGUUCACCUUGCAGUCAAUAGGUACCCAGGAGUUAGGCAAUAGUUAAGGGAUUGCAUCCUGAGUAGGUCAGUAGUCCGACCUCGGUGGUGGCCUCAGUACAAGCCUGAAGUACAGUACAGUAUAUAUAUAUACACACACACUAACAUUUUUCUAUGCUAGUGUAUACACAGCCUAUAUUCACAGGCUUCCUAUAUCCUUGAUAAAAUUAAUUAUUAUUAAAUGCAGUCCAGUAUUACUUUUAUCAAAUUAAAUUGAUCACACUUUUUCCUACUGUACCUUGCUAAAAUUUACUUUUAGCAAGACAUUUUUUAAUAUGUUUCUGCUGAUUAGGAAUACAUCUUACUUUACAAAAUCAAUAUGUCAUCCUUAGAGUUCAAAAAUACAGGUUCAAGUCAUGAUCAGCAUGGGGUCCACACCAAAGUAUUAAUAUUAUGAUAAUUGUGUGCAAGAUAUAAUAGAUUUGGGUCUGCUGCAGAGUCUAGGUACCCUGGAAACACAAACCGAAACCGUCUCUAUUUUCCGCUUGUUACAACUUGUAAUAAAGUUGUUACAUUUUGGCUUAACGUAUUUAUGACGUAUUAGAACGUUGUUACAACUUGCUAUAUUGGUUGUUAUAACUGGUUAGGAAGUGUUAAAACUUGUUCGAACGUUGUACCAACGUCGUAGUUUCGGUGUGUGUUUGGCGGGUAAUGAGGAUCAAUAACAUGACUGUCACAACAGUCUUUGUCCCCUGGGGUUGCACAGGCUAGGAUGGCUGCCUUUAUUAUGAAAGACUUGUCUAUACAGAAAAAUACCAAGAUGAAAGCUUUCUUUUUAAUGAUGAUUCACCUGCUAGGGCUUUUCCCUGUCAAUAUGUCGUCUAAAAGUGAACUUUGCUGUCAUCGUGUUUCUCUAAUUUGUUGUUGGCUAUUUGUGGUCUUUUAUAACUGAUUAGACUUGUAGUAUAGCAUUUGUGUUAAGUGAUGGGGUGAUUCCAAAGUGCCUAAUCUGUGUGCAUCAUCCUGUCGUCGCGCACAGUAAUUGCUUUCACACCUACAUAGUAGGUUGAUGCCCAUGACAUUAGACAAUACUGAAAAUUUGAUAUUUUUUUUUAUUUUUUUCAUUGGUGUAUAUUUUCAAAUAGUCUUUCCACAUCAAUGAUAAAAUCUCCAGAAUUUGUGUUGCAAAUUUAUUGCAAGGCAAGUACUAUAUUUUUCUACAAGUGUCCAUGUAACAAAUUAUGGAAUGGUUUGUUUAAUAUUCCAAUCAAAAUUAUGCUUUUUUUUUUUUUUUACCUCCAUGAACAAGUUGUCAAACAGGAUUAGUGUUAGCCUGGAAACAGGUUUUAUUUUCUGUAAUGUUGGUUUGCUUCCUUUCACUAACCCUCCAGCAAAUUGUAUUUGUUCUGUAGUUCUUUCAUUCAACUACUGUCAAGGAGUUUCCUUACCCUUUCUUUAUCCUUUCAUUCUUCUAUAUCAUAACUUGCCACAUAAUUUAUCUCUGAUUGAUUGUGUUUACUUUCAACACAAUGAGACAUAAAACAAAUUUAAAGAUUUAACAUAAUUUAACUUUAAUUUUGUUUAUUUAAAUAAUACAUUAGAGGGUAUUGUGGGUGCAAAUGCCAGGCAGGUACAGCUCUUUGGGAAAUGAUGUCAUUUAUAAGUUAAUCAUAUUUUCUUAUUUUGCUUUAAAUUAAGUCUUCC